rnacentral:rRNA from 1 species
UACGGGGGGGGCAAGCGUUGUUCGGAAUUACUGGGCGUAAAGGGCUCGUAGGCGGCCAACUAAGUCGGACGUGAAAUCCCCAGGCUCAACCUGGGAACUGCGUCUGAUACUGGAUGGCUUGAAUCCGGGAGAGGGAUGCAGAAUUCCAGGUGUAGCGGUGAAAUGCGUAGAUAUCUGGAGGAACACCGGUGGCGAAGGCGGCAUCCUGGACCAAUUCUGACGCUGAGGAGCGAAAGCCAGGGGAGCAAACGGG